rnacentral:rRNA from 1 species
CAGGACGAACGCUGGCGGCGUGCCUAAUACAUGCAAGUCGAGCGGACAGAUGGGAGCUUGCUCCCUGAUGUUAGCGGCGGACGGGUGAGUAACACGUGGGUAACCUGCCUGUAAGACUGGGAUAACUCCGGGAAACCGGGGCUAAUACCGGAUGCUUGUUUGAACCGCAUGGUUCAAACAUAAAAGGUGGCUUCGGCUACCACUUACAGAUGGACCCGCGGCGCAUUAGCUAGUUGGUGAGGUAAUGGCUCACCAAGGCAACGAUGCGUAGCCGACCUGAGAGGGUGAUCGGCCACACUGGGACUGAGACACGGCCCAGACUCCUACGGGAGGCAGCAGUAGGGAAUCUUCCGCAAUGGACGAAAGUCUGACGGAGCAACGCCGCGUGAGUGAUGAAGGUUUUCGGAUCGUAAAGCUCUGUUGUUAGGGAAGAACAAGUACCGUUCGAAUAGGGCGGUACCUUGACGGUACCUAACCAGAAAGCCACGGCUAACUACGUGCCAGCAGCCGCGGUAAUACGUAGGUGGCAAGCGUUGUCCGGAAUUAUUGGGCGUAAAGGGCUCGCAGGCGGUUUCUUAAGUCUGAUGUGAAAGCCCCCGGCUCAACCGGGGAGGGUCAUUGGAAACUGGGGAACUUGAGUGCAGAAGAGGAGAGUGGAAUUCCACGUGUAGCGGUGAAAUGCGUAGAGAUGUGGAGGAACACCAGUGGCGAAGGCGACUCUCUGGUCUGUAACUGACGCUGAGGAGCGAAAGCGUGGGGAGCGAACAGGAUUAGAUACCCUGGUAGUCCACGCCGUAAACGAUGAGUGCUAAGUGUUAGGGGGUUUCCGCCCCUUAGUGCUGCAGCUAACGCAUUAAGCACUCCGCCUGGGGAGUACGGUCGCAAGACUGAAACUCAAAGGAAUUGACGGGGGCCCGCACAAGCGGUGGAGCAUGUGGUUUAAUUCGAAGCAACGCGAAGAACCUUACCAGGUCUUGACAUCCUCUGACAAUCCUAGAGAUAGGACGUCCCCUUCGGGGGCAGAGUGACAGGUGGUGCAUGGUUGUCGUCAGCUCGUGUCGGAGAUGUUGGGUUAGUCCCGCACGAGCGCACCCUUGAUCUUAGUUGCCAGCAUUCAGUUGGGCACUCUAAGGUGACUGCCGGUGACAACCGGAGGAAGGUGGGGAUGACGUCAAUCAUCAUGCCCCUUAUGACCUGGGCUACACACGUGCUACAAUGGACAGAACCAAGGGCAGCGAAACCGCGAGGUUAAGCCAAUCCCACCAAUCUGUUCUCAGUUCGGAUCGCAGUCUGCCACUCGACUGCGUGAAGCUGGAAUCGCUAGUAAUCGCGGAU